rnacentral:rRNA from 1 species
UACGGGGGGGGCAAGCGUUGUUCGGAAUUACUGGGCGUAAAGGGCUCGUAGGUGGCCAACUAAGUCAUGCGUGAAAUCCCUCGGCUUAACCGGGGAACUGCGUCUGAUACUGGAUGGCUUGAGUUUGGGAGAGGGAUGCGGAAUUCCAGGUGUAGCGGUGAAAUGCGUAGAUAUCUGGAGGAACACCGGUGGCGAAGGCGGCUCACUGGCCCGGUACUGACGCUGAGGCGCGAAAGCGUGGGGAGCAAACAGG